rnacentral:rRNA from 1 species
AGUGAACGCUGGCGGUAGGCCUAACACAUGCAAGUCGAACGGCAGCACAGUAAGAGCUUGCUCUUACGGGUGGCGAGUGGCGGACGGGUGAGGAAUACAUCGGAAUCUACUUUUUCGUGGGGGAUAACGUAGGGUAACUUACGCUAAUACCGCAUACGACCUACGGGUGAAAGCAGGGGAUCUUCGGACCUUGCGCGAUUGAAUGAGCCGAUGUCGGAUUAGCUAGUUGGCGGGGUAAAGGCCCACCAAGGCGACGAUCCGUAGCUGGUCUGAGAGGAUGAUGAGCCACGCUGGAACUGGGACACGGUCCAGACUCCUACGGGAGGCAGCAGUGGGGAAUAUGGGACAAUGGGCGCAAGCCUGAUCCAGCCGUACCGCGUGGGUGAAGAAGGCCUUCGGGUUGUAAAGCCCUUUUGUUGGGAAAGAAAAGCAGCAGGUUAAUACCCCGCUGUUCUGACGGUACCCAAAGAAUAAGCACCGGCUAACUUCGUG